rnacentral:rRNA from 1 species
CCUACGGGAGGCAGCAGUGGGGAAUAUUGGACAAUGGGGGCAACCCUGAUCCAGCCAUGCCGCGUGUGUGAAGAAGGCCCUCGGGUUGUAAAGCACUUUCAGUGAGGAAGAACGCCUGGUGGUUAAUACCCAUCAGGAAAGACAUCACUCACAGAAGAAGUACCGGCUACACUCCGUGCCAGCAGCCGCGGUAAUACGGAGGGUGCGAGCGUUAAUCGGAAUUACUGGGCGUAAAGCGCGCGUAGGUGGCUUGAUAAGCCGGUUGUGAAAGCCCCGGGCUCAACCUGGGAACGGCAUCCGGAACUGUCAAGCUAGAGUGCAGGAGAGGAAGGUAGAAUUCCCGGUGUAGCGGUGAAAUGCGUAGAGAUCGGGAGGAAUACCAGUGGCGAAGGCGGCCUUCUGGACUGACACUGACACUGAGGUGCGAAAGCGUGGGUAGCAAGCAGGAUUAGAUACCCUUGUAGUC